GUGGGCUUUCACUCCUGUCUCUUAUGUAAGGUGUCAUCAGUCUACUGAAACAUGGUUUCUCGUUGUGAAGGAAACAUGGCUGCUCUUGUACGUCUUUGGCCUUUGCUCUGCUGGAGCUGCUGCUCCAGAGGAACAGUGGAAGGAGUGAAAGCAAUCGACAGAAGAUCACAACUCGAUGAGACGAGUCCUUAUCCAGCUUCAUGUGCUUCUCUCUUCCAGCUGCUUUUAUUCAGCGUCUGUCUGCCGUUCUUCUGGCUGGGGAUUGGGUUUCCUGUCAGUCCGGUCGUCACAGUUGAUAGAUUGUUCUUUUUUCUACGUUUUGAUGCAUAAUUGGCAAGCAGCUGCGAUAUGAGGGAUCAGAAAGUUUCUGAUUUUCAUCCUAUCAACAUGUGGAAAGUAACUUCGAGGAACAUGUGGUGCAGCGUCUGACUUCCAGCUGGAGAAACGCUCUACACUCCAGCUCUGGCCUGGUUCAGCAGGUGACUGCAGAGGAUCAAGUCCUCCUUACGUCCAGGAGCGUCCAGACUGUCUGUCUGUCUCUGUGUCUCCGUCUGUCUGUCCUCCGCCCUCCUCUGUAAAUGUCUAUUGAUCCUGACUGCAGUGAAGCAUUAGGGAUGCGUGAAUCACAAAGAAACCAACAUCCCCAGUAUCUGCUUCUCAGAAGACUGACCGGUGAUCAGUGUUUCCUAAUGUUUGUAUAUUUUAAUGUUUUAGUUUUGUGUGUCUGUCUGAUAUUUAUUUGCUGCUGCACAGGUCUCUCUUGCAAAUGAGACCCUUGUUCUC